UACGGAGGGAGCUAGCGUUGUUCGGAAUUACUGGGCGUAAAGCGCACGUAGGCGGCUUUGUAAGUUAGAGGUGAAAGCCUGGAGCUCAACUCCAGAAUUGCCUUUAAGACUGCAUCGCUUGAAUCCAGGAGAGGUGAGUGGAAUUCCGAGUGUAGAGGUGAAAUUCGUAGAUAUUCGGAAGAACACCAGUGGCGAAGGCG
rnacentral:rRNA from 1 species